rnacentral:tRNA from 1 species
GAGGGUGUAGCUCAGUGGUACAGUGUGUGCUUGGCAUGCACGAAGUUCUGGGUUCAAUCCCCAAUACCUCCA